rnacentral:rRNA from 1 species
CUCGUAGGCGGUUCGUCGCGUCCGGUGUGAAAGUCCAUCGCUUAACGGUGGAUCCGCGCCGGGUACGGGCGGGCUUGAGUGCGGUAGGGGAGACUGGAAUUCCCGGUGUAACGGUGGAAUGUGUAGAUAUCGGGAAGAACACCAAUGGCGAAGGCAGGUCUCUGGCCGUUACUGACGCUGAGGAGCGAAAGCGUGGGGAGCGAACA